GCCGCUGUAGCUCAAUUGGUAGAGCAACUGACUUGUAAUCAGUAGGUUGGGGGUUCAAGUCCUCUCGGCGGCACCA
rnacentral:tRNA from 32 species